UGCAAUUAUGCUAGAGAUAACCAGCCAUUUUAUUGCUUGCACUAGUGGAAACAAGGAAUCAUAGAGGUGCUCAAAGUUGCCUUUCAAGCUGUUUGGUGGUUCUGGAUGGAAGAAGACUUUGAGGAGACAAGGUUAUGUUAAACCAAUCCUGAGGCCAAAUCCUGAGUAACAGAGCGUUUUGGAUAGAAAAGUCAAUGAAAUGUGGAUGAAAAGACCAGCAGAUUUGUUCCUUAUGACUUUGAUGGAUAUGGGAAGUUAUAUCUCCUAAUCUGCCACAAUGUCACCUCAAUAUACUAAUAGAUAUAAGAAGUCAUCUGUUUAC